rnacentral:antisense_RNA from 1 species
AUCGAGUUUUUCUGUUCUCCAAUGUAUGGAAUCUUUU